GACGAACGCUGGCGGCGUGCUUAACACAUGCAAGUCGAACGGAAAGGCCCUGCUUUUGUGGGGUGCUCGAGUGGCGAACGGGUGAGUAACACGUGAGUAACCUGCCCUUGACUUUGGGAUAACUUCAGGAAACUGGGGCUAAUACCGGAUAUGAGCUCCUGCUGCAUGGUGGGGGUUGGAAAGUUUCGGCGGUUGGGGAUGGACUCGCGGCUUAUCAGCUUGUUGGUGGGGUAGUGGCUUACCAAGGCUUUGACGGGUAGCCGGCCUGAGAGGGUGACCGGCCACAUUGGGACUGAGAUACGGCCCAGACUCCUACGGGAGGCAGCAGUGGGGAAUAUUGCACAAUGGGCGGAAGCCUGAUGCAGCAACGCCGCGUGCGGGAUGACGGCCUUCGGGUUGUAAACCGAUUUCGCCUGUGACGAAGCGUGAGUGACGGUAAUGGGUAAAGAAGCACCGGCUAACUACGUG
rnacentral:rRNA from 1 species